AUUGUAAACACAAUGUCGAAAUUAAUUUUUAUUUUGUUCUCUGUUUUCGGGCUUUUCUCCGGUCUGAUCUGUUACCUUCAAUUCUGCUUCUAGUGCCGUGGACUUCCCCUUUUUCCUGUCCAUUUUCCACGUCCAAGAUGUCGGAGGGGGCGAGCUCCACGUUCCACUAAGCGACACUGACUAAUUUGGAACCAUUAAUCACGGAGCUGCUUAGCGUCAGUCACGUUGGUUGGGCAGCCAUCAAUACGCAUCAAAAUCGAAUGCGAAUAGUGCAUGUUUACAUGGAUGGAUGUGCAAUACACCUUGGGACAAAAUGUUAGGUCAUAAUUGAAAUAGCAGCAAGCUGCUGGGAAUGUCUAAUCCUGAAACAAGACAAGACUUUGGAAGUAGUAGACAAUUGGUUCAAUCGGUUUUAUUUUUGUCAUAUUUUUUUUAAAAGUUAUGCACAUAUUCUUAAAAUACCUGGAAGAUAACAAUUUGUUUUAAGAAGAAGUGCUAUUAUCUUGACUGCAACUGUGAUGACGAAUGUGUAACCGCUGCGUCUCGCUUGGGUGUCGGUCGUUUGGUGUCCCUGAUUUGCCUCCAUUUCGAAGCCCAGUGUGCAGUGCUCAGUGCCCAUUCCGAUUUUCAUAGACCAAACGGGUCCAAAUGUAAGCCCACCCAUUCCCGUUCCCCUUUUCGGCGGACAUCGAGGCGAGUGCGGUUGUGGACUUGGACGUGGAUCUGAAUCUGAAUCUGAAUCUGGACGCCGACGUGGACAAGGCGUCCAAUCAAGCCGCGUGUCUGGCAGUCAACUAGUCACUCACUUUGGCCACAGAGACUGCGUCAGUCCAUCAGUCAAAUACUCGCUUUAAUUUCGACCUUCUCGCGAUCAGCGAAAGAACUGGAAAAAUGUGUAUUUUCCAUGUAUUUUAUA